rnacentral:snRNA from 1 species
AAUCGGACGUCUUCGGCGUUCG